AUUGUCCAUUUAAAGCCACCCAUGCUUUGUAAUGGUUAACACAGGGGGGCAGAGCAUUUUCCUCACUAAAACGCAGUUUGGAGGCUCGUACCCUCCUCUCUGUAUCCUGUCGUGAGGUACAUCUCUGCUGAUUUAAACUGCGCAAACUGUUGGCACUAUAUAAAACCUGUGUAAUAUGCCUUUAUUUUUUUUAUCCUCUGAUAAAGUGACCCUUCAAACAAUGUCAGUCUACCUGGUCUCCACAUCUCCGUAGUUCCUCCUGCUGGUCUUCUUAAGCCUUUGGUUUCUUGUAAUGGUGUGGAGUUCAGCAGAAGAUUAGUGCCAAACAUGGUUGGUGUUUCAUCAGAGGUUAAUCACUUGGGGGUCCAGGUACAUCUGACUGGACAAUCGAAAAUGGUACAAGAGAGUAGGCCACCUACUGAAAAAGCUAAAAACGGAAAUUGCUUGGCUACAUGAAAAUAACGUACAUGGAAACUUCAGAAAUAAACCUGACUCCAAAUUAUGGUUUCUACUGUUUGGACUAUUGAUGGAAGAUGGUUCUGCUGAAUUAGGCACUGCCUGCUGAUCGCGCGCUGUUUUUCAGUUGGGGAUAGACAGCACUGAUGUCUGAAAUAAAACCUGUUGGGACAUCAAAAUGGCUGCAGACCUUUGAUUCCUGUGUUUUUUGCUCCAUGUCCUUGGAUUUUUUUUUUGGGCAAGAACUGAUGAAGAAUCUGUCUUAGAAGGAUUUUUUUUUUUUUUUUUUCCCUCUAGGGACCUUCAUUGGCUAGAUUCAUGGGUCACAAGAAUGCUCAUAUGUGAAGCUUAAAAUAAAGAUCAAGCACUCAAAAUGAA